rnacentral:rRNA from 1 species
GACGAACGCUGGCGGCGUGCUUAACGCAUGCAAGUCGUACGGUAAGGCCCUUUCGGGGGUACACGAGUGGCGCACGGGUGAGUAACACGUGAGUAACCUGCCCACAACUUUGGGAUAACGCUAGGAAACUGGUGCUAAUACUGGAUAUGUGCUCCUGCUGCAUGGUGGGGGUUGGAAAGCUCCGGCGGUUGUGGAUGGACUCGCGGCCUAUCAGCUUGUUGGUGGGGUAGUGGCCUACCAAGGCGGCGACGGGUAGCCGGCCUGAGAGGGUGACCGGCCACAUUGGGACUGAGAUACGGCCCAGACUCCUACGGGAGGCAGCAGUGGGGAAUAUUGCACAAUGGGCGCAAGCCUGAUGCAGCAACGCCGCGUGCGGGAUGACGGCCUUCGGGUUGUAAACCGCUUUCAGCAGGGACGAAGCUUUUUGUGACGGUACCUGCAGAAGAAGCACCGGCUAACUACGUG